ACUUGUCCUAUAAAAACAUUGUUAUGUUUUGUUUUCCAUUUUAAAACCGUAACUCACAGUUAUUCAGUGUCAAGAAUUUUUCUGUGCUGAAAGACUAAAGCUCCAGGACUUCACCAAGGCUACAAAUAGCUGAUGUAUCACUAGCUGGUUUAAUCACCAACAACCUGAUCAUCACUCAUUUAUCAACUGCUAUCCAAGCAAAAUUUGGAUAAUGAAGAUCCAAUGCAAAACCGAACAGCUACAGUCUUCAGGAGACUUGAUUCUACAUUUGAGCCACCUGUAGUCACAGUGCUGCCUGCUUAUACAAUAUGACUGUGAAGUAAUUACACUUUAAUGCUGAAGCUCAGUAAGUGGGAGAUGACAGAGUGGAGGCACUGCCUGUGUUAGGGGAGCAACAGAACUCCAAUACUGAUAUAAAUUAUUGGAACAGUGUUCAUCUGGGGAACUGCAGACAGACAAAGCAGCUCUGAGGAAAUGCAUCAUGUCAAAGACAGUUUGUUUCAUCUGAGGCUUGAAUAACAGCAGAAGUAAAAAACAGAGUUAUCUGGUGAGGGGGAAAGCAAAGUGGAGCC